GUGGGGAAUAUUGGACAAUGGGGGGAACCCUGAUCCAGCCAUGCCGCGUGUGUGAAGAAGGCCUUUUGGUUGUAAAGCACUUUAAGCGAGGAGGAGGCUACCGAGAUUAAUACUCUUGGAUAGUGGACGUUACUCGCAGAAUAAGCACCGGCUAACUCUGUGCCAGCAGCCGCGGUAAUACAGAGGGUGCAAGCGUUAAUCGGAUUUACUGGGCGUCAAGCGCGCGUAGGUGACCAAUUAAGUCAAAUGUGAAAUCCCCGAGCUUAACUUGGGAAUUGCAUUCGAUACUGGUUGGCUAGAGUAUGGGAGAGGAUGGUAGAAUUCCAGGUGUAGCGGUGAAAUGCGUAGAGAUCUGGAGGAAUACCGAUGGCGAAGGCAGCCAUCUGGCCUAAUACUGACACUGAGGUGCGAAAGCAUGGGGAGCAAACAGGAUUAGAAACCCCUGUAGUCC
rnacentral:rRNA from 1 species